AUUGAACGCGGGCGGCAGGCCUAACACAUGCAAGUCGAGCGAGCGGCGGACGGUUGAGGAAUGUAUGGGGACUGCCCGAUAGAGGGGGAUCACUACUGGAAACGGUAGCUAAUACCGCAUACUAUCGGAUAACCCAUAUGGGAUUAGCUAGUAGGUGAGGUAAUGGCUCACCUAGGCGACGAUCCCUUGCUGGACUGAGAGGAUUAUCAGCCACCCUGGGACUGAGACACGGCCCCGACUCCUACGGAGGCAGCAGUGGGGAAUAUUCCACAAUGGGCGCAAGCCUGAUGCAGCCAUGCCGCGUGUAUGAAGAAGGCCCUAGGGUUGUAAAGUACUUUCAGUCGGUAGGCGUUACCGUCAGAAGAAGCACCGGCUAACUCCGUGCCAGCAGCCGCGGUAAUAC
rnacentral:rRNA from 1 species